GACGAACGCUGGCGGCGUGCUUAACACAUGCAAGUCGAACGGAAAGGCCCUGCUUUUGUGGGGUGCUCGAGUGGCGAACGGGUGAGUAACACGUGAGUAACCUGCCCUUGACUUUGGGAUAACUUCAGGAAACUGGGGCUAAUACCGGAUAGGAGCUCCUGCUGCAUGGUGGGGGUUGGAAAGUUUCGGCGGUUGGGGAUGGACUCGCGGCUUAUCAGCUUGUUGGUGGGGUAGUGGCUUACCAAGGCUUUGACGGGUAGCCGGCCUGAUAGGGUGACCGGCCACAUUGGGACUGAGAUACGGUCCAUACUCCUACGGGAGGCAGCAGUGGGGAAUAUUGCACAAUGGGCGGAAGCCUGAUGCAGCAACGCCGCGUGCGGGAUGACGGCCUUCGGGUUGUAAACCGCUUUCGCCUGUGACGAAGCGUGAGUGACUGUAAUGGGCAAAGAAGCACCGGUUAACUACCUGCCAGCAGCCGCGGUGAUACCUAUGGUGCUAGCCGUUGUCCGGAUUUAUUGGGCGUAAAGGGCUCGUAGGUGGUUGAUCGCGUCUGAAGUGAAAAUCUUGGGGCUUAACCCCGGAAGGCGUGCUUUCGAUACGGGGUUGACUUGAGGGAAGGUAGGGGAGAAAUGAAUUCCCUGGUGGAGCGGUGGAAUGCGCAGAUAUCAGGAGGAACACCAGUGGCGAAGGCGGUUCUCUGGGCCUUUCCUGACGCUGAGGAGCGAAAGCGUGGGGAGCGAACAGGCUUAGAUACCCUGGUAGUCCACGCUGUAAACGGUGGGUACUAGGUGUGGGGUCCAUUCCACGGGUUCCGCGCCGUAGCUAACGCUUUAAGUACCCCGCCUGGGGAGUACGGCCGCAAGGCUAAAACUCAAAGGAAUUGACGGGGCCCCGCACAAGCGGCGGAGCAUGCGGAUUAAUUCGAUGCAACGCGUAGAACCUUACCUGGGUUUGACAUGGAUCGGGAGUGCUCAGAGAUGGGUGUGCCUCUUUUGGGGUCGGUUCACAGGUGGUGCAUGGCUGUCGUCAGCUCGUGUCGUGAGAUGUUGGGUUAAGUCCCGCAACGAGCGCAACCCUUGUUCACUGUUGCCAGCACGUUAUGGUGGGGACUCAGUGGAGACCGCCGGGGUCAACUCGGAGGAAGGUGGGGAUGACGUCAAGUCAUCAUGCCCCUUAUGUCCAGGGCUUCACGCAUGCUACAAUGGCUGGUACAGAGAGUGGCGAGCCUGUGAGGGUGAGCGAAUCUCGGAAAGCCGGUCUCAGUUCGGAUUGGGGUCUGCAACUCGACCUCAUGAAGUCGGAGUCGCUAGUAAUCGCAGAUCAGCAACGCUGCGGUGAAUACGUUCCCGGGGCU
rnacentral:rRNA from 1 species